rnacentral:rRNA from 1 species
AUGAACGCUAGCUACAGGCUUAACACAUGCAAGUCGAGGGGCAGCAUGGUCUUAGCUUGCUAAGGCCGAUGGCGACCGGCGCACGGGUGAGUAACACGUAUCCAACCUGCCGUCUACUCUUGGACAGCCUUCUGAAAGGAAGAUUAAUACAAGAUGGCAUCAUGAGUCCACAUGUUCACAUGAUUAAAGGUAUUCCGGUAGACGAUGGGGAUGCGUUCCAUUAGAUAGUAGGCGGGGUAACGGCCCACCUAGUCUUCGAUGGAUAGGGGUUCUGAGAGGAAGGUCCCCCACAUUGGAACUGAGACACGGUCCAAACUCCUACGGGAGGCAGCAGUGAGGAAUAUUGGUCAAUGGGCGAGAGCCUGAACCAGCCAAGUAGCGUGAAGGAUGACUGCCCUAUGGGUUGUAAACUUCUUUUAUAAAGGAAUAAAGUCGGGUAUGCAUACCCGUUUGCAUGUACUUUAUGAAUAAGGAUCGGCUAACUCCGUGCCAGCAGCCGCGGUAAUACGGAGGAUCCGAGCGUUAUCCGGAUUUAUUGGGUUUAAAGGGAGCGUAGAUGGAUGUUUAAGUCAGUUGUGAAAGUUUGCGGCUCAACCGUAAAAUUGCAGUUGAUACUGGAUAUCUUGAGUGCAGUUGAGGCAGGCGGAAUUCGUGGUGUAGCGGUGAAAUGCUUAGAUAUCACGAAGAACUCCGAUUGCGAAGGCAGCCUGCUAAGCUGCAACUGACAUUGAGGCUCGAAAGUGUGGGUAUCAAACAGGAUUAGAUACCCUGGUAGUCCACACGGUAAACGAUGAAUACUCGCUGUUUGCGAUAUACAGCAAGCGGCCAAGCGAAAGCGUUAAGUAUUCCACCUGGGGAGUACGCCGGCAACGGUGAAACUCAAAGGAAUUGACGGGGGCCCGCACAAGCGGAGGAACAUGUGGUUUAAUUCGAUGAUACGCGAGGAACCUUACCCGGGCUUAAAUUGCAGAUGAAUUACGGUGAAAGCCGUAAGCCGCAAGGCAUCUGUGAAGGUGCUGCAUGGUUGUCGUCAGCUCGUGCCGUGAGGUGUCGGCUUAAGUGCCAUAACGAGCGCAACCCUUGUUGUCAGUUACUAACAGGUUCCGCUGAGGACUCUGACAAGACUGCCAUCGUAAGAUGUGAGGAAGGUGGGGAUGACGUCAAAUCAGCACGGCCCUUACGUCCGGGGCUACACACGUGUUACAAUGGGGGGUACAGAGGGCCGCUACCACGCGAGUGGAUGCCAAUCCCAAAAACCUCUCUCAGUUCGGACUGGAGUCUGCAACCCGACUCCACGAAGCUGGAUUCGCUAGUAAUCGCGCAUCAGCCACGGCGCGGUGAAUACGUUCCCGGGCCUUGUACACACCGCCCGUCAAGCCAUGAAAGCCGGGGGUACCUGAAGUGCGUAACCGCGAGGAGCGCCCUAGGGUAAAACUGGUGACUGGGGCU